GAUGAACGCUAGCGGCAGGCCUAACACAUGCAAGUCGAACGGUAACAUGAAGUGCUUGCACUUUGAUGACGAGUGGCGCACGGGUGCGUAACGCGUAUACAAUCUACCUUUUACAGAGGGAUAGCCCAGAGAAAUUUGGAUUAAUACCUCAUAGUAUGUUAAAGUGGCAUCACUUAAACAUUAAAACUCCGGUGGUAAGAGAUGAGUAUGCGUUCUAUUAGCUAGUAGGUAGGGUAAUGGCUUACCUAGGCAACGAUAGAUAGGGGCCCUGAGAGGGGGAUCCCCCACACUGGUACUGAGACACGGACCAG
rnacentral:rRNA from 1 species